UAAGACUUGGUGGUCUUAUACAGCUAAUACAAAGGUUAGCAUCACAGCUUGUCUGUAAGGAUUGAAGCUGGGAGUGGGCAUUGGAGCUGACUUUUAUGAUAACUGUGGCUGCAUAAAAUGGUUGUGUUAUAUAACUGCAAC